UACCAGCUUCUGUUGACCACAGCAAGACAAAUGGCCAGUUCAGAUUCAAGGGGUGGUGUAGUAGUUUGAAUAGUGUCCCCAAAAAAUGCGUGUCCAUCUGGAACCUCAGAAUGUGACUUUCCUUGGAAAUAGGGUCUUUGCAGAUGUAAAUAAUUAGGGAUCUCCAGGUGCAAACAUCCUAGAUUUAGAGUGGGCUCCAAAUCCAAUGACCGGCAUCCUUGUAAGAAGAGAGGAAGACACAGAGACAGAGAGACACAGUGAGAAAGACACACAAAGUCAGAGGCAGAGAUUGGAGUGAUGGAGCUACAAGCCAAGCAAGUCCAAGGAUUGACACCAGGAGAGAGAUCUGGAGUGGAUUCUCCCCUAGAGCCUUCAGAGAGAGCAUGGCCCUUCCAACAACUUGACUUUGGACUUAUUCUGUUGUUUCAGCCACCUGCUUUAUGGCAAUUUGCUACAGCAGCCCUAGGAAGCUAAUAUGGGAGGGAAAUAGACUCCAGCUCUUGAUGGGGGAAGAUGCAAAGUCAUAUUGCAAAGGAUGAGAAUACAGGAAGGCAGGGGGAAGUAGAGCCUCUUUUGCAAUCUUGCACCUUGGUUUACCAGUCCCCACUUUGUUCCUGGCAGGUGUCUUAAAACCGAAGAGCAUCACAGAAUGCCAGACACCAGACACUCACCACACGCAGUGGGUGCUAUUUCUGCACCAGGCUCCAGAGAGUGCGUUCCUGGGUGCUGACGCUCCUACAGCUGCCUCCUCUGCAACAGCCUCUCUUCCCUGUACAGAUUCCUCACCACAUCCAGCCAAAUUGCCUUCAUCUCAGCAGAGGCUGUAGAAGGCAGACGGCCAGGAGAGUGGGGCCGUCAAUGCACUGGGUACAGCAGUGAUCCUCCAGGAUUUUCAACACCUCAGGUCCUAGUGGCCUGGGAUGAUCUGACCCCAGACACCCUCCCCAGAUGCAAGUCCAUCCCCAAUGCACAGGAAGGAAUACAUCUCUGGAUUGACUAAAACAUCAUACUGGAAAGGAAGUUUGACAGAGGAAGGUCAUUCUCAUUCCACAGGCACUUCAAAGACAGGCUUCUCUCUUGGGAGUCGAGCUGUAGCUUCCAUGAAGUUUUCAGCACGUUUUCUGAAUACCCACCUGUCAUCGAUGCUUGGAGGUGCAAAGUGGGUUGGAUGACUGAAUCCUGCCCUUGAGAGCUGACACUGUCACCAACGUUGUUGAGAUGGGCUGGAGUCACCCACUGAGCACUCAGUGACUGGUACGCCAAAGGCCAAGGCCUCACGGUGGACACCAUGAUGAAAACAACAUACAAUUAGAUGGGAGGAAAACAUUCUGUUCUUCUCUGGCACAGAAGAGUGGCUAUUGUUAAUACUAAUGUACGGAAUAUUUCAAAAUACCUAGAAGAGAGGACUUCGAAUGUGCUCACCGCAAAGACAUGACAAAUAUUGGAGGUGAUGAAUUUGCUAAUUACCCUGAUUUGAUCCUUACACAAGCUAUACAUGUGUGGACACAUCACACUAUACCCCAUAAAUAUGUACAACUAUAUGUUCUUUUUAAAAGAUGGAAACGAUGCCAAUGUCCAUCAACUGGUGAAUGGAUAAACGGAGUGUGUGUGUCCAUAUGAUGGGAUCGCAUUUGUCCAUGUAAAGGAAGGAAGUGCUGAUACACGCCACAGCGUGUGUUGGUGGACUGCUCGGGGCCCAUGCACACCUUGUGUCCAGGCUUCCUCUUGCAGGACCAGGAUCUUCCCUGUCUCCUUCCACGUUGCUGAAGAGUCACCCUGCAUCAGGCAGUGGAUCACAGUGGCAGAGUGAUGAGCUUGAUAGACAAGGAGCAGCCUUCAGGGAGCUUUCACCCAGUAGGGGAAAUGGAUGAAUAACCAACAACAACACCUACUUACAGCUUGUGAAGGUGCCAAAAAGAAACCAGAAAGGGAGAAGAGACACAGCCAUGCACAGAGGAAAGACAGUGAAAGCACAGACACGCAGAGGGAGAUGGCCUCGUGACAACAGUGGCAGAGGCUGCAGCGAUGCAGCUACAAGCCAGGGAACCCGGAGGAUUGGUGGUAACCACCUGCAGCUGGAAGAGGCAAAGAGGAUGCUCUCCCACAGCCUUCAGAGGGAACAGGCCCCUGGCAAGACCUUGACUUUAGAGCUGGGCCUCCACAAUGAUGAGAGAAGCCAUUUCUGUUGUUUGAAGGCACCCAGUUGAUGGCAAUUGGUUACAGCGUCCACAGGAGGCUGAAACAAGAGCGAAGACUGUUCCAGCAGAGGGAGGAGCCAGCGCAGAUGACUUCACGAGAAAGUUCCUAGGCCUGCUGGAGCAGCGGCCGGGACGCCCAAAGGAGCGGGAGCCCUACAGGCAGGCAGGGAUGGUCCCAGAAGGAGUUGGUGCCCAGCCACAGGGUCUUGUAGACCAUGGUGAUGAUGUUUGUUUUAUUCUAAGAACGCUGGGAAGUCAUUGAAGGAUUUUACAAGAAAGAUGAAACAUGAUUUGAAGUUCAUUUUUGAAAGAUCGCAUCAGCUGCUCUGUGAAGAGGAGUUUUGAAAGAGGCAAGAGAGGAGGCAGGACAGCCACUGUGGCCUGCAGGUCCUCAAACGAUUACACAGAGUUACCGUGUGACCCACAGUUCCACUCCUCUGUAUAGACCCACGAGAAACGAAAACAUAUAUUCAUACAGAAACCUGUACAAAAUGUUUAAAGCAGCAUUAUUUGUAAUAGCCCAAAGAUAGAAACGACAUAAAUGUCCACCAAUGAAUCCAUACAAUGAGGUAGUUAUUUGGCCAUAGAAAGGAAUGAAGUGCCGAUAGGACAGCAUGAAUGAACCCGGGAACCAUCACGAUAAGUGAAGGAAGCCAUUCACAAAAGACCACGGAUUGUAUGAUUCCAUUUAGACAAAAUGCCCAGAAGAGGCAAAUCUCUAGAGACAGAAAGUAGAUUACUAGUUGCCUAGGGCUGUAAGGGUGAGCGUUGGGGAGGGGAGAUAGCUGAAGGGUCAGAGCUUCUUUUUGAGGUGAUACAAAUGCUGUAAAAUGGACCACGGUGACGAUUGCAGCUACAUGGAAUAUACUAGCAACCAUUGAAUUGUAUACUUUUUUUUUUUAAGUGAAAGCAAGCUUAUUAGAGAAGUAAAGAAACAAAAGCAUGGCCACUCCAUAGGCAGAGUAGCCUGAAUUGUCCACUUUAAAUGGGAGAAUUACAUAAUAUAUGAAUUACAUUUCAAUAACGCUGUUUAAAAGAAAAAAAAAAGAGUGAAAUCUCAGAGGAGGCCACUGAGCACUCUGGUGGAAGAAAAUGGUGACUUAGGCCAGGGUCAUAGAAGUAGAGACAGCAAGAAGGGAUGAAAACAGUGGAUUGUGGAGGCCGAAUAGACAACCGAUGAAUAGGUCAACACCUGCUGUCCAUCUGUACGAGGGAAUAUUAUUCAGCCAUAAAAAGAAAUGAAAUGAACCUUGCUGCAACAUGAUGUUAGGUGAAAUAAGCCAGACACAAAGGCCCCAUAUGGAAUGAUGUCACUUACACGAGGUUUCUACAAUAGGCAAAUUCAUAGAGACAGAAAGAAUGGAGGUUACCAGGAACUGGGAGGAGAAAAGAAUGGGACAUUAUUAUCUCACAGUUCCAGAAUUUGUUUGGGAUGAUUUAAAAAAAAAAAAAAAAGCUCUGGAAAUAGAUCAUCAGGAUGGUUGCACAAUGUUUUGAAUGUAAAUGCCACUGAAUUGUACACCUUAAAAGGGCUCAAAUGGUAAAUAUUAUGCUAUGUAUAUUUUACCAUGAUGAAAAUAAACGUACAAAAGUGAGACAGCAGUGAGUCUAGGCCUCCCUUUUAAGAAGCGAUGGCAUCAAAGAGAGCAGAGGAAGAGAGAUGGAAGUUAGGAAGGGGUUUUUCAAAGAGCAGAUUCACGGGAAACGAUUCAUUCGUGCAGGAGAGAAAGGAUGAAGGAGGAGCGGGGUCCCUUGAAUGUCCACAGGCAGAAGACGAGGGCAGAAGGGGAGGAGGUUGUCUUUGUGGCGGACAGAGGAGCUGUGAAUAGGGAGGGAAACAAGGGUGUGCCUUCCGUUUACUCAGCACAGGAAGAAGCAAGGCGAGGAAGAACAGGCUCCUUUUUGAAAUGCAAAAGCCUGUUCUUAUCUAAACACUCUUGCAUAAGACAAACAAGAGCGCUACCCAGUUGGUGACUUGGGACAGGAAUGCCUGCCACCCUCUUAAACGUUCUCUCCCCUCCCCUAGCCUAGACUGAAGACCUCGGCCUCCAGCUUCUCUCCCAGACCCUUUCUUGGCUGGAUGAGGUCACUCACCCCUUUUGAAAGCUCCACAGGCAUUUCUGGACCAAGUUCCCUCACUCUUUUAAAUGGUUCUGUAAUUGCUUCAUUCGCAUAAACCUGCCCUCCUGGGCAUCUGAACAGCCCCAGGGCAGGGCCUGACUGCAGAGCCAGCUUCCUUACGCCAAGGCCCUCGUGCCUGCGUCCCUCCUCGCCUUCAGCCAUGAGGUUGCCUGGC
rnacentral:lncRNA from 10 species